GAAAUCCCGUCGGAAUCUGGGAGGACCAUCUCCCAACCCUAAAUACUCCCUAGUGACCGAUAGUGAACCAGUACCGUGAGGGAAAGGUGAAAAGCACCCCGGGAGGGGAGUGAAAUAGAACCUGAAACCGUGUGCCUACAACAAGUUCGAGCCCGUUAAUGGGUGAGAGCGUGCCUUUUGUAGAAUGAACCGGCGAGUUACGUUAUGAUGCGAGGUUAAGUUGAAGAGACGGAGCCGUAGGGAAACCGAGUCUGAAUAGGGCGCCUUAGUAUCAUGACGUAGACCCGAAACCAUGUGACCUACCCAUGAGCAGGUUGAAGGUGCGGUAAGACGCACUGGAGGACCGAACCAGGGCACGUUGAAAAGUGCUUGGAUGACUUGUGGGUAGCGGAGAAAUUCCAAACGAACUUGGAGAUAGCUGGUUCUCUCCGAAAUAGCUUUAGGGCUAGCGUCGAUAUUAGAGAUUCUUGGAGGUAGAGCACUGUUUGGGUGAGGGGUCCAUCCCGGAUUACCAAUCUCAGAUAAACUCCGAAUGCCAAUGAAUUAUGGUCGGCAGUCAGACUGCGAGUGCUAAGAUCCGUAGUCGAAAGGGAAACAGCCCAGACCACCAGCUAAGGUCCCAAAAUAAUUGUUAAGUGGAAAAGGAUGUGGGGUUGCACAGACAACUAGGAUGUUAGCUUAGAAGCAGCUAUUCAUUCAAAGAGUGCGUAAUAGCUCACUAGUCGAGUGACCCUGCGCCGAAAAUGUACCGGGGCUAAAACAAUUUACCGAAGCUGUGGAUACCUUUAUAGGUAUGGUAGGAGAGCGUUCUAUGUGUGAUGAAGGUAUACCGUGAGGAGUGCUGGAACGCAUAGAAGUGAGAAUGCCGGUAUGAGUAGCGAAAGACAGGUGAGAAUCCUGUCCACCGUAAGACUAAGGUUUCCAGGGGAAGGCUCGUCCGCCCUGGGUUAGUCGGGACCUAAGGAGAGACCGAAAGGUGUAUCCGAUGGACAACAGGUUGAUAUUCCUGUACUAGAGUAUGUAGUGAUGGAGGGACGCAGUAGGCUAACUAAAGCAGACGAUUGGAAGAGUCUGUCUAAGCAGUGAGGUGUGAAUUGAGUCAAAUGCUUAAUUCUAUAACAUUGAGCUGUGAUGGGGAGCGAAGUUUAGUAGCGAAGUUAGUGAUGUCACACUGCCAAGAAAAGCUUCUAGCGUUUAAACAUACUCUACCCGUACCGCAAACCGACACAGGUAGUCGAGGCGAGUAGCCUCAGGUGAGCGAGAGAACUCUCGUUAAGGAACUCGGCAAAAUGACCCCGUAACUUCGGGAGAAGGGGUGCUGACUUUAAGUCAGCCGCAGUGAAUAGGCCCAAGCAACUGUUUAUCAAAAACACAGCUCUCUGCUAAAUCGUAAGAUGAUGUAUAGGGGGUGACGCCUGCCCGGUGCUGGAAGGUUAAGAGGAGUGCUUAGCGUAAGCGAAGGUAUGAAUUGAAGCCCCAGUAAACGGCGGCCGUAACUAUAACGGUCCUAAGGUAGCGAAAUUCCUUGUCGGGUAAGUUCCGACCCGCACGAAAGGCGUAAUGAUUUGGGCACUGUCUCAACGAGAGACUCGGUGAAAUUUUAGUACCUGUGAAGAUGCAGGUUACCCGCGACAGGACGGAAAGACCCCAUGGAGCUUUACUGCAGUUUGAUAUUGAGUGUCUGUACCACAUGUACAGGAUAGGUAGGAGUCUAAGAGAUCGGGACGCCAGUUUCGAAGGAGACGCUGUUGGGAUACUACCCUUGUGUUAUGGCCACUCUAACCCAGAUAGGUGAUCCCUAUCGGAGACAGUGUCUGACGGGCAGUUUGACUGGGGCGGUCGCCUCCUAAAAGGUAACGGAGGCGCCCAAAGGUUCCCUCAGAAUGGUUGGAAAUCAUUCGCAGAGUGUAAAGGUAUAAGGGAGCUUGACUGCGAGAGCUACAACUCGAGCAGGGACGAAAGUCGGGCUUAGUGAUCCGGUGGUUCCGUAUGGAAGGGCCAUCGCUCAACGGAUAAAAGCUACCCUGGGGAUAACAGGCUUAUCUCCCCCAAGAGUUCACAUCGACGGGGAGGUUUGGCACCUCGAUGUCGGCUCGUCGCAUCCUGGGGCUGUAGUCGGUCCCAAGGGUUGGGCUGUUCGCCCAUUAAAGCGGCACGCGAGCUGGGUUCAGAACGUCGUGAGACAGUUCGGUCCCUAUCCGUCGCGGGCGUAGGAAAUUUGAGAGGAUCUGCUCCUAGUACGAGAGGACCAGAGUGGACUUACCGCUGGUGUACCAGUUGUCUUGCCAAAGGCAUCGCUGGGUAGCUAUGUAGGGAAGGGAUAAACGCUGAAAGCAUCUAAGUGUGAAACCCACCUCAAGAUGAGAUUUCCCAUGAUUAUAUAUCAGUAAGAGCCCUGAGAGAUGAUCAGGUAGAUAGGUUAGAAGUGGAAGUGUGGCGACACAUGUAGCGGACUAAUACUAAUAGCUCGAGGACUUAUCCAA
rnacentral:rRNA from 1 species